rnacentral:lncRNA from 1 species
UAAAAUACACAUAGUUUAAGACACUAGCAAUUAAAGCUCAAACUCAAUCAAAGUGCAGUAAAUUUGAAUGUAAUAAGUGACUAAAAUACACAAUUAUAGCCUCGUCAUCGAACAAUCAAAAUACACUUUUUAUAGGCACAACUUUUUUAUACAAUUCUCCUAACUCAUCACACCAAGAUUAUUUAAAAUAUACUAAGCACAAAAGUGUAACAUCUUCACCUAAAGAUUUGACUCAUAAGUACCACGCGUUAUUCGCAACUCACCCUCUUACUCUAACAUAGAGGUCAGUGAAAUUACCUUUCCUUCACGAAUCAAGUGCCCUUACACAACAAACGAGAGUAGCUCCAAGUACCACGCAUUAUUCGCAACUCUCCCACUUACUCUAAUAUAGAGGUCACUGAAAUUACCUUUCCUUCAUGAAUCAAGUGCCCUUACACAACAAAAGAGAGUAACUCCACAUAAUAAAAUUUAAGAACACUUAGGAAGUCAAGAUAGAAAGAAUUCACUCACUCUCACAACUAACAUUCAUAUGCCACAAAAGAUGUACCAUAAGCUUACCCAUAGUGUACUACUUCACUAAUCGAGCUCAUUCAAUCUAGGAUCAAGCAGGACUUUAUUUGGUUGUAAUGUAGGCUACGAGAUAGGUAGGAUACGUUUAGAUAUAAGACUGACUACACCUCCCUAAGCACUUUAAUACAUACAUUUUAAUAUUUAAAUCGCAUACUUAUGUCGAACCAAAACUCCACCUUCACAUCAAUGUAAAUUACCUCAUUUUACUUUAAGCACACUUACAUCAAGAGCCACCACUUAUCAUUUUGUACAAUAAUCCAACUAUUUUUUUCAAUUCAAGUGACUCACUUUUUCAAAACAGUGCACUUUUCUCCUUAUUCAAUUAGUUUCACUCAAAAACCAAACCAACCACCCCACACUUUAACUUUUACAAAGUUCAUAACCAUUCAUGUACUCAAGAGAGGUGAAAAGGUUCAAAUAGGUGGUUAAUUCAAACAAAUGGGUAAGGCUUGUAAUGUGGUUUCCAAAGAAAAAGGAUUAUAGGCUCAAAGAGGUUAACUACAACACAUAAUGAUUAGGCAAGUAACAUAUACAUAUCUGGCUCAAUAAAGAAACGCCAAUAUCACUUCCAAGACUGAACAAAACUACCAUUUCGCUUUACAAACAUAUACAUAACAAUUAGGCGGGUAACAUAUACAUAUCUGGCUCAACAAAGAAAUGCCUAUAUCACUUCCAAGACUGAACAAAAUUACUAUUUCGCUUUGCAAACACACAGGGCAAGUUCUAGACAUCAGAUGCAAUGAACAGAAUAACACAAAACCUUACACACACCUGACACAUAACUCACUCAGAAUUUGACUCAUCAUGACACUCUAGUCAAAGAAGUUAAGCAAAAAUAAGAUCAUACAAUUUAAGGUACUUAUAUAAGAGUCAAACACUAAGUUGAAGCAUUAUAACUAAAGUACUCACUAUUCUCAAGGCGUAACAAUUCAAG